rnacentral:rRNA from 1 species
UAUAAGGUCUAAUCUGCCCAAUGAGUAAUUGAAUGGCCGCGGUACUUUGACCGUGCAAAGGUAGCAUAAUAAUUAGUUUUUUAAUUGAAAGCUGGAAUGAAUGAUUGGACGAGAAAAUUACUGUCUCAGUUUAGAUUAAUUUGAAUUUUAUUUUUAAGUAAAAAAGCUUAAAUUUAUUUAAAAGACGAGAAGACCCUAUAGAGUUUUAUAGAUUAAUUUAUAAUUUUAUAUAGGGAUAUUUUUGUGGUUAUAAUUUACUUUAUUUUAUUGGGGCGAUGGAAAAAUUUAUUUAACUUUUUUUUUAUAUUUACAUUAAUGUAUGGGUUUUUGAUCCAAUUUUUUUGAUUAUAAGAUUAAAUUACCUUAGGGAUAACAGCGUAAUUUUUUUUUAGAGUUCUAAUCGAAAAAAAAGUUUGCGACCUCGAUGUUGGAUUAAAAUUAAUGUUUGGUGUAGAAGCUAAAUAAUUAGGUCUGUUCGACCUUUAAAAUUUUACA